UCCUCUGUGGUUUAGUUGGAGAGAGCGUUGGCUGUACCAUGCCGAAGUCGUGGUUUCGAGUCCCACCAGAGGUA